rnacentral:rRNA from 1 species
UACGGGGGGGGCAAGCGUUGUUCGGAAUUACUGGGCGUAAAGGGCGCGUAGGCGGCCUGCUAAGUCAAACGUGAAAUCCCCGGGCUCAACCCGGGAACUGCGUCCGAUACUGGAUGGCUUGAAUCCGGGAGAGGGAUGCGGAAUUCCAGGUGUAGCGGUGAAAUGCGUAGAUAUCUGGAGGAACACCGGUGGCGAAGGCGGCAUCCUGGACCGGCAUUGACGCUGAGGCGCGAAAGCCAGGGGAGCAAACAGG